UUUUUGUAUUCAAAGGUUUUGAAAACCUUUCUUGAUCGCCAAUCUUGAUCACCUAGUGAAGAC
rnacentral:tRNA from 1 species